rnacentral:rRNA from 1 species
AUUGAACGCUGGCGGCAUGCCUUACACAUGCAAGUCGAACGGUAACAGGUCUUCGGAUGCUGACGAGUGGCGAACGGGUGAGUAAUACAUCGGAACGUGCCCGAUCGUGGGGGAUAACGAAGCGAAAGCUUUGCUAAUACCGCAUAAGAUCUACGGAUGAAAGCAGGGGACCGCAAGGCCUUGCGCGAACGGAGCGGCCGAUGGCAGAUUAGGGAGUUGGUGGGAUAAAAGCUUACCAAGCCGACGAUCUGUAGCUGGUCUGAGAGGACGACCAGCCACACUGGGACUGAGACACGGCCCAGACUCCUACGGGAGGCAGCAGUGGGGAAUUUUGGACAAUGGGCGAAAGCCUGAUCCAGCCAUGCCGCGUGCAGGAUGAAGGCCUUCGGGUUGUAAGCUGCUUUUGUACGGAACGAAAAGACUCUUUCUAAUAAAGAGGGUCCAUGACGGUACCGUAAGAAUAAGCACCGGCUAACUACGUGCCAGCCGCCGCGGUAAGAC